rnacentral:lncRNA from 10 species
CAGCGCCUCUCAGGACUCUGUUAGACUCUAACAGAUAGUUUUGUAAGAGUAUUGAGUUAGGAAAGUCCUAGAAUUUAUCCUAUACAAGCUCUGAUGUUUUCAAUAAAUUGUGUAUGGGGAACUAAAAAGAAAGGUAGGAAAAUUUAGAUACCUUCCCGGAAACUUUUUACUUUUUUAGCAAUUUUUAAAUAUUAUUAAUUUUAUAAUUUGUAUAUAUUCAUUAUUUAGGAUCACAUAUGUUUAUGUAACAUACCCAUUU